AGAGUUUGAUCAUGGCUCAGGAUGAACGCUGGCGGCGUGCUUAACACAUGCAAGUCGAACGGAGAACCCCUGAUGGAGGAUUCGUCCAACUGAAGGGAAUUCUUAGUGGCGGACGGGUGAGUAACGCGUGAGGAACCUACCUUGGAGUGGGGAAUAACAGUCCGAAAGGACUGCUAAUACCGCAUAAUGCAGUUGGGCCGCAUGGCUCUGACUGCCAAAGAUUUAUCGCUCUGAGAUGGCCUCGCGUCUGAUUAGCUAGUAGGCGGGGUAACGGCCCACCUAGGCGACGAUCAGUAGCCGG
rnacentral:rRNA from 1 species